GACGAACGCUGGCGGCGUGCCUAACACAUGCAAGUCGAGCGAGAGACUUCGGUCUCUAGCGGCGGACGGGUGAGUAACACGUGGGUAACCUGCCUCAUAGAGGGGGAUAGCCUUCCGAAAGGAAGAUUAAUACCGCAUAACAUCAGAUUGUCGCAUGGCAGUUUGAUCAAAGGAGUAAUCCGCUAUGAGAUGGACCCGCGGCGCAUUAGCUAGUUGGUGAGGUAACGGCUCACCAAGGCCACGAUGCGUAGCCGACCUGAGAGGGUGCUCGGCCACAUUGGAACUGAGAUACGCUCCAGACUCCUACGGGAGGCAGCAGUGGGGAAUAUUGCACAAUGGGCGAAAGCCUGAUGCAGCAACGCCGCGUGAGUGAUGAAGGCCUUCGGGUUGUAAGGCUCUGUCUUUGGGGACGAUAAUGACGGUACCCAAGGAGGAAGCCACGGCUAACCACGUGCCAGCCGCCGCGGUAAUAC
rnacentral:rRNA from 1 species